GAGGCAGGUUGGGCAAUCGCGGCGCCAUGCGCGUCGAGGAAGGUCCGGACUCCGCAGGGCAGGGUAGCGGCUAACAGCCGUCCGGCGGGUUGGCACAGCAAUGUGAUAACCCGCCGAGGACUAGGGCCACAGAGACGAGUCGGUGGCGAGGGCAGGCGCAAGCCUGCACCAGUACGGCUACUUCCGUGCUGCAUGGCUGGUAACGGCCAUGGCGUUAUCGGGUGAAACGCGGCAACCUCUACCCGGAGCAACAUCAAAUAGGCAUGUGCUGGCCUUCGGGCCAAAAGGGCGGCCCGCCCGAGCAUGCGGGUAGAUGGCUAGAGCUCGACAGCAAUGUCGAGCCCAGAUGAAUGAUUGCCCACCUGGCUUGCCAGGUGUACAGGAUCCGGCCUAUAGGCCUGUCUCACAC
rnacentral:RNase_P_RNA from 1 species